rnacentral:rRNA from 1 species
CUUCGGGGUACUCGAGUGGCGAACGGGUGAGUAACACGUGGGUGAUCUGCCCUGCACUUUGGGAUAAGCCUGGGAAACUGGGUCUAAUACCGAAUAGGACUACGCGAUGCAUGUCGUGUGGUGGAAAGCUUUUGCGGUGUGGGAUGGGCCCGCGGCCUAUCAGCUUGUUGGUGAGGUUACGGCUCACCAAGGCGACGACGGGUAGCCGGCCUGAGAGGGUGACCGGCCACACUGGGACUGAGAUACGGCCCAGACUCCUACGGGAGGCAGCAGUGGGGAAUAUUGCACAAUGGGCGCAAGCCUGAUGCAGCGACGCCGCG